rnacentral:rRNA from 1 species
AAAACGACUCUCGGCAACGGAUAUCUAGGCUCUCGCAUCGAUGAAGAACGUAGCGAAAUGCGAUACUUGGUGUGAAUUGCAGAAUCCCACGAAUCAUCGAGUUUUUGAACGCAAGUUGCGCCCGAAGCCAUUUGGCCGAGGGCACGUCUGCCUGGGUGUCACGC